AUUAUAUUUCAUUUGUACAGACCCAAUAGUCGCGAGCAUUAACGAUUGGGAAAAAGAGUGAAGUGACUGGACAUAUGGCAAUUCUGAUAAAGGAUGUACGGCAGGGAAAUCAUGUGGCCAUUAUACACAGAUUGUAACUGCAGCAACAACUAAAAUAGGAUGCGGCGUUGCUACAUGUAGCACAUUUACAUCCAGCGAAGGCGAUGACAUGACAGGGUUUGAUGGGUACAGUCACUUUGUCUGUGAUUAUUAUAAAGCCGGUAACAUGCCUGGUGAACCACCUUAUUAAAUAGAAACAGUAG